rnacentral:rRNA from 1 species
GAUGAACGCUGGCGGCGUGCCUAAUACAUGCAAGUCGAGCGAACAGACGAGGAGCUUGCUCCUCUGACGUUAGCGGCGGACGGGUGAGUAACACGUGGAUAACCUACCUAUAAGACUGGGAUAACUUCGGGAAACCGGAGCUAAUACCGGAUAAUAUAUUGAACCGCAUGGUUCAAUAGUGAAAGACGGUUUUGCUGUCACUUAUAGAUGGAUCCGCGCCGCAUUAGCUAGUUGGUAAGGUAACGGCUUACCAAGGCAACGAUGCGUAGCCGACCUGAGAGGGUGAUCGGCCACACUGGAACUGAGACACGGUCCAGACUCCUACGGGAGGCAGCAGUAGGGAAUCUUCCGCAAUGGGCGAAAGCUUGACGGAGCAACGCCGCGUGAGUGAUGAAGGUCUUCGGAUCGUAAAACUCUGUUAUUAGGGAAGAACAAAUGUGUAAGUAACUAUGCACGUCUUGACGGUACCUAAUCAGAGAGCCACGGCUAACUACGUU